GCCGGGCCCGUGGCUGGUGCCUGUGAUCCCAGCGGCGGGGGAGGCUGAGGCCGGCGGAUCGCUUGAGCUCAGGAGUUCUGGGCUGCAGCGGGCUGUGCCGAGCGGGUGUCCGCACUGAGUUCGGCAUCGAUAUGGGGAUCCCGGGGAAGCUCGGGGUCCCCAGGUUGCCUAAGGAGGGGUGAACCGGCCCAGGUCGGAAACGGAGCAGGUUAAAACUCCCGUGCCGAUCAGUAUAGCCCCUGCAGCCUAGUGGUGUCACGGAGAUAGCUGUGAAUGCUGGUGGCGUAGGGUCUGAGUAGAGUCCACAUAUCCGGACAGUU
rnacentral:SRP_RNA from 1 species